rnacentral:rRNA from 1 species
GAUGAACGCUAGCUACAGGCUUAACACAUGCAAGUCGCGGGGCAGCAUGGGGGUUGCUUGCAACCCCUGAUGGCGACCGGCGCACGGGUGAGUAACGCGUAUCCAACCUGCCCUUCACCACGGGAUAACCCGGCGAAAGUCGGACUAAUACCGUAUGUUGUCCAUUGACGGCAUCCGAUUCGGACGACAGGCUUGGCGGUGGAAGGAUGGGGAUGCGUCCGAUUAGCUUGACGGCGGGGUAACGGCCCACCGUGGCUACGAUCGGUAGGGGUUCUGAGAGGAAGGUCCCCCACACUGGAACUGAGACACGGUCCAGACUCCUACGGGAGGCAGCAGUGAGGAAUAUUGGUCAAUGGGCGUAAGCCUGAACCAGCCAAGUAGCGUGCAGGAUGACGGCCCUAUGGGUUGUAAACUGCUUUUAUGCGGGGAUAAAGUGGCCCACGUGUGGGCUUUUGCAGGUACCGCAUGAAUAAGGACCGGCUAAUUCCGUG